GACGAACGCUGGCGGCGUGCCUAAUACAUGCAAGUAGAACGCACAGUUUAUACCGUAGCUUGCUACACCAUAAACUGUGAGUUGCGAACGGGUGAGUAACGCGUAGGUAACCUGCCUGGUAGCGGGGAUAACUAUUGGAAACGAUAGCUAAUACCGCAUAAUAUUGAUUAUUGCAUGAUAAUUGAUUGAAAGAUGCUAUUGCAUCACUACCAGAUGGACCUGCGUUGUAUUAGCUAGUAGGUGAGGUAACGGCUCACCUAGGCGACGAUACAUAGCCGACCUGAGAGGGUGAUCGGCCACACUGGGACUGAGACACGGCCCAGACUCCUACGGGAGGCAGCAGUAGGGAAUCUUCGGCAAUGGACGAAAGUCUGACCGAGCAACGCCGCGUGAGUGAAGAAGGUUUUCGGAUCGUAAAGCUCUGUUGUAAGAGAAGAACGGGUGUGAGAGUGGAAAGUUCACACUGUGACGGUAUCUUACCAGAAAGGGACGGCUAACUACGUG
rnacentral:rRNA from 1 species